AACAGAUCGAUUAAUAUUUGUAAGUCUCAUAUGAUUUGAAAUCUUUUGGUUCGAUAUGAAUUAUUGUUGAUAUAUUCUAAUUUGUUGUACUACAAACAUUCACGAAAUAAUUCGAGUUUUUAUAAACCUUUCAUUUUGCUAGCUCUUGAACAGCUAUGCAUCACGCUUGAAACAAAUCUUUAUCAAUGAUCAUAAUUUCUUAUCAAAGACAAUAACAGCUAUAAAAGAGCGUUCAUUCAAGUGUUAUAAUACUUGUUUGAUGUUCAGAGAUCAAAUAUGAAAGCUUUCAUAGUAGUACUUGUUUGCUUUGCAGCAAUGGCAAAUGCUCAAGUGGCUUUUCGACCACGUAUCUCGCCACAACUCUGUCAUCCUGAUGAUAUACAGUGCCACCUUAACCCAUCUGCAUGGCCGACCAACAAAGAACAAGUUGGGGACUAUACUGUCGAUUAUAGUAAGUCACUGCGAAGCAGGGAAAUACUCAUACAAGCCAUUGAAAAACUAGUGUCUUGGAUCGUGAAUCAAGUUGUUGAAUAUUUCCUCAAAGACGAAUCGCUGCUCCGGAUGCAGUUGAGAAAUAAACCGCCUCGCCGUAUUUGCGAUCCCAAAGACACAGAGUGCAAUAAAUUGUACUCCAAAUUUCUUCCCUUGUUCCCACCUAUCCCCAUUUCUAUCCUUGGAUACUGAGUAAGCAAUGCAUUAUUACGUUAGUCUAUUUCAAUCGAUUUCCAAAAAAAAAAUAUAGCUUCAAAUAAAAGUCCUAUGUUUCAA